AGAGUUUGAUCAUGGCUCAGAACGAACGCUGGCGGCGUGCUUAACACAUGCAAGUCGAGUGCGCGGUUGUAGCAAUACAACUGGCGCACGGCGCACGGGUGCGUAACACGUGGCAAUCUGCCCUCCGAUGGGGAAUAACUCCGGGAAACCGAAGCUAAUUCCGCAUAACAUUCCCUGGACUCCGGUUCGGGGAUUCAAAGCAGCAAUGCGUCGGAGGAGGAGCCCGCGCCCGAUUAGCUAGUUGGUGAGGUAACGGCUCACCAAGGCUAUGAUCGGUAGCUGGUCUGAGAGGAUGCCAGCCACACUGGAACUGAGACACGGUCCAGACUCCUACGGGAGGCAGCAGUGGGGAAUCUUGCGCAAUGGGCGAAAGCCUGACGCAGCGACGCCGCGUGGGGGAUGAAGCUUCUCGGAGUGUAAACCCCUUUCGACCGGGACGAAUGCCCGCAAGGGAGUGACGGUACCGGUAGAAGAAGCCCCGGCUAACUACGUGCCAGCAGCCGCGGUAAGACGUAGGGGGCCAGCGUUGUUCGGAAUUACUGGGUGUAAAGGGUUCGUAGGCGGUGUGGCAAGUCGGGAGUGAAAUUUCUGGGCUUAACUCAGAACCCGCUUCCGAAACUGCUGUGCUGGAGUGUGGGAGAGGCGCGUGGAAUUGCAGGUGUAGCGGUGAAAUGCGUAGAUAUCUGCAGGAACACCCGUGGCGAAAGCGGCGCGCUGGACCACUACUGACGCUGAGGAACGAAAGCUAGGGGAGCAAACAGGAUUAGAUACCCUAGUAGUCC
rnacentral:rRNA from 1 species